rnacentral:rRNA from 1 species
UACGGAGGGUGCAAGCGUUGUCCGGAAUCACUGGGCGUAAAGGGCGCGUAGGCGGCCCGGUAAGUAGGGGGUGAAAUCCUGCGGCUUAACCGCAGGGCUGCCUUCUAAACUGUCGGGCUCGAGCACGGUAGAGGCAGAUGGAAUUCCCGGUGUAGCGGUGGAAUGCGUAGAGAUCGGGAAGAACAUCAGUGGCGAAGGCAGCUCUCUGGGACGGUACUGACGCUGAGACGCGAAAGCGUGGGGAGCGAACAGG